rnacentral:lncRNA from 1 species
GAGUAUCCGUCGAUGUACAGGAUGAUUGUCCACCCGUACGUUCCCUCUGAUGUACACCGAGAAAAUCAAGAUCUUUCUUCCAGUCAGUUGGAUCUUCGCCCGAUAAACGGACUGUAUGAUCGAAGGCAUUGCCGUUUCCAGUAGUACAGUGGAUGACGGAAGGCGUUGGCAGGGGGCUGUUUUUGGAACUUUUAUCCCAGCCAUAACCUCAACUGCAUCAGACCCGCCAAGGUGUUC